GGCCGCAUCACGUUGAAACCCCGGUUCCCGUGCGAUCACCGAAGUUAAGCGACUUUGAGCCUGAUCAGCACUUAUAUGAGUGACCUCUUGGAAAUAUCUGCUGCAGUAA